rnacentral:rRNA from 1 species
GACGAACGCUGGCGGCGUGCUUAACACAUGCAAGUCGAACGGAAAGACGCGGCUUUUGCGCGGUGCUCGAGAGGCGAACGGGUGAGUAACACGCGUGUAUCCUGCCCCUGUAUUUGGGAUAACAUCUCGAAACUGGGGCUAAUAUCGGAUAGGAGCUCUUGCACCGUGGGGGGGGAUGGAGAGUUUCGGCGGUUGGGGAUGGACUAGAGGCUUACGGGCUUGAUGGGGGGGUAGGUGCGUUCCAAGGGUUUGACGGGUAGCCGGCCUGGGAGGGGGACCAGCCACAUUGGGCCUGCGGUACGGCGCAGACGCGUAUGGGAGGCAGUGGGCGAGAGUAUGACGGAAUGGGCGGAAGCCUGAUGCAGCGACGCUGCGUGCGUGAUGACGGGCUACUGGUUGUAAACCGCUUUGGCCUUUGACGAAGCGUGAGUGACGGUAAUGGGUAAAGAAGCACCGGCUAACUACGUG